CUUGCAGCUCCUCCGUCGCCGGUCCACACCCGCCACCAGGUAAGCAGGGACGUCGGGCCCAGCGGGCCCCAACUUUACCUUGGCCACUACCUCGCUGCAGGAUCGUGAGGAACACUCAGAAGGGACACCGUAGAGGGGUGGAGCGUGGUACCGGGCCGCGGAGCGGACACUGGCAAAGCUUAACUUUCCGCCUAGGGUGUAGAGUGUUUGCAGUCGUAUUCCCGCGGUGUAGACACUCGUGGGCACGCUCCUGCUUGGUGCGCGGGGCUUGGGGACACACUAGAGUCGCGGUGUGGGCAUUUGGAGAGCCGGUGCGGCUUGCGGGUGUUAAGCCGCAUCUGUCCACCUUGAGGGGACACAGUAUUGGGAGUCAGGCGUUACAAUCACGCUUUGAUGGCCUAUGGGUCUUUGUCCAAACCGGUUUUGCCCAUUCGGCUUGGCGGGCGCGGCGGGGCCGGCUCGGCCGGGUGGGGGCUGGGAUGCCAUUGCGCGUGCGCGCUCUAUCACUGGGCAUUGGGGCGCGUGCGCGCUGGGGAGGGAACUCUUCCUCUCCCCCUCUUCCGAGUUAAGAGUUGCGCGUGCGUAUUGAGACUAGGAGCGCGGCCG
rnacentral:lncRNA from 1 species